CGCGGGGGGCGGAGGCUGGGCUGCUCCGCGCCGGCACAGGCCGGGGUCGCUGCGGGCGGAGGGUCCCUCCCGGGGCCCGGCACACGGCCUGUUCUGACGUCCUUCCUGCUGCCGCUCGCUGACGCCGGGGCCAUGUGGGCCCUGCUGCCGCUCCUGUGCUUGGUGCCACCGGGCUCCUCGGCCACGGGGGCCCUGGCUGAGAUGCGACAGACCGGAGCCAGUGCCAGGGCCCAGCCCCCCUCUGCCGCCCAGGGAGCCUUGCCGAAAGCCCCUCUGAUGGCGUCGGAGCUGCCGGCCAGGGGCACAGACCCCGCGCUCUCCCUCAACCUGGGCCUGAACUUCAAGAUCAAGGUGUGGAGCCAGGGCAGCUUCCGGCUGGCAGAUCCCAGCGCCGAGCCAGCCCUCGCAGACCUUCUGCCGGCCGACACGGCGGACCCGAUUUCCUCCGCCAGUUUCCUGCCACCGGCGAACCGCUUCCUGGCCGAGCUGCCGCCCAGCGAAGCCCUGUCCGGCUCCUCCUCCACGCCCGGCUCGGGGUGGCUCAUGACCGGCUCCGCAGACGAGCCGUCGCCAGAUGCUUCCCACAGCCCCGGGAGCUGGGGCGAGACCGCUGGAGACUGGGAUGGCUCCCUGGUUCCCCAGUUCCGCAGCAGCCCCGGGGGGCGCCCGCCGAGCACCACCCCCUUCGAGUCGGAGUUCCUGGAGCCAGUGCCCACGGCCCGGCUCUCCUUGUUCCGGCCUGUGCUGGGCUCCCAGCCCGAUGUGAUGCUGCCAGCUGCCAGCCAGCCCACCCCUGCCAGCUCCCGCCGAGGGCGCAGCAAGGGGCUGGAGUUCAAGAUCAACAUUGACCUGACAGCUGGGCUGGACCAGGAGGUGGGCGCGCCCCCCACCCAUGUCCUGCCUGCCAGGGGGGGCAAGGGCCAGGGCACCAGGUGGAAGUACCCGCUGCUCCCCAGCCUGAAAGCAGGGAUCUCGGAGAUCGCCAGCAAGCUGGGCACCUCCAGUUUCUUUGGUCCUACGCUGCCCCCAGACUGGCACCAAGAGAGGAGGGGGCCACAGGAGAGGAACAGCACAGACGGCGUCUGGGACCAGCCACAGGACACCAGCCCCUCCCUACCCCGUGCCAUGGAGCCAGGCCCGGCCCUGGCCCCUGGCCCCUCUCCCGGCAGCGAGGGGGCACUGGCCGCCUGGCCCAGGUGCACGCCAGAGAAGCCAGAGGAGUGCGGCUCCCCCAGCCCUGAGCCCGAGGCCCCCCCAGCACCACACCCGCUGCCCUCCAGGCCCCUCUUCGUCACGCUGCACGCGGACUGGAACACGGCCAUGGCCGACUGGGGCCUGGCCUGGGAAGCCCACGUCUACGGGGCCGGCUCCCUCUUCAGCCUGCUGGCCCUGCUCUCCCUGCUGAGCCUGGCCUGCCUCCCCUUCCGCUGCCCGGCUGGCUGCACCUUCCUGGCCGCCCUCGACCUGCUGCUGCUGGUGGCCGGCGCCGCCCGGGCCUUCCUGCUCUUCUACGACGCCUACGGGCAGCAGGAGCGGCUGCCGGCCCUGGCCUGGCUGCUGCUGCACGACCUGCCCUUCCCUUGCUUCUCCUCCGCGCUGGCUGUCGCCUUCCUGCUGCUCUCCACCCGCUCCCGCGUCCAGCUCUCGCGCGCCCGCUUCCGGCACCCCGGCUGCCUGGCCGCCCUGGUGCUGCUGCACUUCUCCGUGGCCGUGGGCGCCGUCCUGGCCGCCGACCUGCUGCGCCAGUUCCCCUUCCUGCUGCUGGUCUCGCGGGGGGCCUUCGCCCUGCUGGCCGCCCUCCUCUCCCUCGCCUUCCUCACCUUCUACUGCCUGGGGCGGGUGGGCGCCCUGCAGAUCUACCACCUCCAGAGCGCCACGCCACCCACCGAGCGCCUCGGCCACUGCCCCUUCGCUGACGCCGGCGACUGGAGCCGGGCAGCGCGCUCCACCCUGCUUGCCGCCUGCUUCGCCCUGCUGAGCGCUGCCCUGCAGGCCUACGCCAUCCUCCACGCCCUGGGCUACGGCCUGCCGCCGGGCUUCUUCGGGCCCUGGCCCUGGUGGUCGCUGCAGCUGGGCUGCCGGCUCUGUGAGGUGGGCACCGGGCUGCCCCUGGCCCUGGUGGGCCUGUACCCCAUGUUCUGCUCCCAUGAGCCCCCCUGCGUGCACUGCUGGGGCGCGCUCUUCCGCGGCCCCGUGAAGGCCCCCAUCCUGGCCAACAACUUCCAGUGGGCCGUGGCGCAGCAUGAGAAGCUGGUGAUGUGUGACACCAUCACCCGCAGCGACUCCGAGUUCCUGCCGCUCUACGCCCUGGCCGGGAGCCGCCCGAGUGCGGACGGGGCAGCGGGCUACUGCGGCGCCCACAGUCCAGGGGCUGCCAGGACCUCGGAGACGGGCCUCGAGGGCGGCUACAGCUCGAAGGCCUCCUCCGUCAUCAGCGUGGCCAUGGACAGCGACCCCACCGCCGGCUUCCGGCCCCCGUCGCCCAUCAACCUGCGGCGCAGCAUCGACGAGGCCCUGUUCAGCGAGGCCCUCAUCCCCGCCAGCCUCUUCCAGCCCCCCAGCGCCCCAGCCCGGUCCAGCCCCCUGGCACUCAGCCUCCAGAGCCCCGGCCUGCAGGAGCGCCAGGGGCUCCGGGAGACGCCGGCCAGCCGCGGCCUGUACCGGACGGCCUCCUGCGUGGAGCUGGACGUGGCCCUGCCCCAGGGAGGGGAUGGGGAGGCGUCCCCAGAGGUGGGCGCGCCUGAUGCCGCCCUCUGCUCCCCGGGCAGAUGGAGGGGCAGCAGCUGCUGCUCCAGCUCCCUCUACGGACUCUCCCUGGACGGCUCCUCCCUGGUCCUGUGCCCCAGCCCGGAGCCAACCACCCACGCGUCUUCCUUUGCCUACGAGCCGAAGCUGCCCCGGGGCCAGGGCGAGAGCAGCCCCCGCCGGUCCCCCCCGCCGCCCGGGGGGCCGUACCUGCCCCUGGGCCAGCCCUCCCAGGAGUCCUUGGACUCUCUGGUCCCGGAGCCGCCGGCGGGCGACGCGGCUCUGCUGCAGGAGGAGUUCCUGGACGUGUGCCGGCAGAUCGACGCACUCAGCAUCAACAGCGACACCAUCGACCUGUAGGGAGAGGGGCCGCCCCGGCCCCGCUGCGGCCACCUUCCCCGUGGGCCCGGCCUGGCCGGAGGAGCCAGGGCGGCCCUGAAACCCACAUCUCCCCCCAUGGUGCUAGGCGGGACGGGCCCUUCCCGCCUCUGGAGGGGGGUCCCCUCUGGUCAGAGCCAAUGCAUGGCCCAUGCACCCCAGCAGUGGGCGCUCACACCACAGCAAUGUCCCAGGGGUCCCGGGGCGGGGCAGAUUCGCAAUGUCGUCCCCCCGCGCGCCCAGUGCCCACACUGCAUCGCCCGUGUCCUCCCCCACGCCGGAGAGGGGGCUGGGGGAGCCAGUGGCCGGCCAUAGGGGCCUGCAGCUCUAUGACGAGGAGAGGGCGCUCCCUGCUGGGUGCGAGAAGGGACUGCGGGCUCCCAACAGCCAGGGCCCACAGCUCCUUGGGAAGGGGGCCCGGGGCCCGGCUCUCGCCCUGGCCCUUGGAAGCGGCUCAGUAGAGAUGCCCCAUGCCCGCCCCCCCAUACACCUGCUGCCUAACACCCUCCUCCCCCGCUUCCUCCCAGCCCCGGGUGGGCCCGGGCCCAGACUUUGACCCCUGUAUUAGCAAUGAGGUAGGCUCGUGGUUUGUACUCCAGACUCCAAAGCCCGCAGCGGCAGUGACAGGCCCCCGGGCGCGGGGGCCGGAAACUCCUCCCCCCUUUGCAUUAAUAAAGUAUUUUAUCAACAGGAGCAGCUGGGUCCUCGUCGGGCAGGAGCCGGGGGCGUUACAUGGGUAAACCUGCAAAGCCCCAGCCCCGUCCAGUUCCGAGUAUCUGAGUGAGACACGAGUGCCGCCAGGGAGAAAGGGCGCCCCUGGGGUUCAUUAUUAGGCAAUCGUCGGGCGCUGUCCUGCUGCCCAGCACCAGAGCGCCCAAUGCAGCCCCACGGUGCGCGGUGCUGGGCGGGCAGGGAACGGAGCUGGCCCAGGGACCCCGUCUGAAUGCCGUGGGCUGGGGACCGGCACAGGGAAGGGACCCUGGCACAAUGCCUCGGGCCGAGCAGUGGAGGACGGGCCCGUAGCGACUCUUCAGCCAGCCCCAGCAGGGCCCGGCCAGCCCUGCACCGCCCAGCAGGACGUGCGUCUUGGGCAACCUUUGGAGCAGGAACCAGUGUGUUUCCUGGGCGGUGGGAACAAUGUGGAGACAUUGCAGCCCCCUACUCGUCCGCCCCCCAUGCUCCCCUGGGCUGCCAGCAGGAAGUGGGGGGCCUCCCCAGACCCCCAAAGCACCCAGCUGCGCCAAGUCACCCCCCUCCCACUCAGGGGCCCUCUCUGCAGGGACGGCAGGGCCAGCAGCUGUGAUGGGGGCUCCUGGGGCCAAGGCUGGGCUUCAGCGGAGGGGCUGUGAGAGGCAGGGUGCAGUAGCCCCGGGUGGCAGCUGUGGGAAAAUGCCUGCUGCCUUUGGAGAUCCAGGGGUGACACUGGGGGGCAGGGUGCCCCAGGAGCUGCCCAGCGCUUGGCCCUCCUGCGUGAGUCACGCUGGCUUGCCAGCCCCGUCGCUGGCACAGCCGUGUCCCCGUCAGCGCCGCAAGGGGCAGGCUGAGGGUCUGUGGGAGGAGAGGAACACGCAGGGCGAGUGUGUCCACCCCACCCCGCCGCUGCUGGCAGACAGGACGCUGGGCUAGCUGGGCCAGCCUGGCUGCUCUCAUGUUCUCCCACUGCACAGAGGGGUUUUCCCGCAGCAAACGCAGGCCAUGGGGGAGAGAGAUGAGCCCUCGGCAGGCCCCAGGACAGGCCGGUGGCCGGCACGGCUGUGCCGUUGAGAAGGGAUCAGCCCCGGCCCAUACGCUGGGUGCAGAGCCCUGUGCCGAGCAGGGUAAAAGCCCUUCGCUCCCUGCACGGGGUGGGGGGAGGCGGGGGAUUUGCAGCUGUGCCUCCGGGCUGAGCGACGCUGCUGGGACUAACGAGGAAGCAUGGCAAUUAGAAAUGAAAUGAGCAAACCAGCUCUGUGCUGCGGGGAAGGUCAGCAGUGAAUUGCCUGGCAAGGCGUUCAUAUUCCUGGCCUGGAAAUUCUCCUGCACUUUCCCUUUCGGCCUGGGACCUAGGGACUCGCUUGUGCUCACAGUGACAAGCCAAGGGGCUCCGACUGGAUCCCGAACGGCCUGCAUCACAGGCCUGCCAAUGCACCCUCCUGCUGCUUUCAUUAACCUGAUGGCACUGUGAUGGGCUCCCAAUGCCCAGCCCCACAGCAAAGCACCCAGUGCGGUGCACUGCCCUGCCCCAGCUCUGCCAAUACCCAGACCCACCCACUGUCACGGAGUCCCCGGGCGAUGCUCUGGAACUGCUCCCCAUGAAGCCAGACACGACUCUGGGGCAGUCGCCUUCCUGUGAGCAGCCUGUCUGCAGGACACACAGCUCACCCAGCUUCCCCCUUCCCGGGUCUGACCUCGGAGCAUUCAGCAUCCUCUGCCCCUCCGUGCGCUUCCCACAGCGAGUCCGCUCAGGCGGGGUCCUGGGGAAGCCAGAGGGUCCUGCUCCCCAACUUCGCAGUCAGACGUGACUCUCAGCCAGCCAGUAAAACAGAAGGUUUAUUGGACGACAGGAACAUGGUCUAAAACAGAGCUUGCAGGUGCAGAGAACCGGACCCCUCAGCCGGGUCCAUUUUGGAGGACAGUGAGCCAGACAACCCCGUCUGCCCUUCACUCCAUGUCCCAGCCAGCCCCAAACUGAAACUCCCUCCAGCCACUCCUCCUCUGGGCUUUGUCCCUUUCCCGGGCCAGGAGGGCACCUGAUUCCUUUGUUCUCCAACCCUUUAACUCUCACCUUGCAGGGGGGAAGGGCCAGGCCAUCAGUUGCCAGGAAACAGGGUGUCCGCCAUUCUCUGUGUCCAGACCCCUGCACACACCUGCCCUCUAGGGCUCUGCAAUGAUCAUACACCCUUACCCCACCAGCUAGAUACUUAAAAACUGCAUAGGGGAAACUGAGGCACCCCCACACUAUUCAGAGGAAACAUUAAGAACAGUCCCACUUCGUCACAUCUCUCCCCCCUUCGAGAUCGAACUGAGCGGGGUCACUUUAGCCAGUGACCUGGGGAAGUUUGAAGCCACCAAUGUUCCCAUGGAUGCCUCAGCAUCUCUCCCAUUCCUUGGUGGGAGUUACACCAGGCCCUUCCAGUUUCACGCCCUCCCUUAGGUCGGGGGGUGGUUGAUAGCACUCACAGGCCGCAUGUGGGAAGGUUUAUGCAGCCCGUGCCCUUUUGCCACCCCCAAAACCCCAGGGGGUCAAACUAGAAUUGAGUCUUCUCCCCAACAAGCUGGCCAAACACAGCCACUUGGUUAGAGGACUGUUUAACUUUCUUAACAGCUUUCACUUCAUCUGAGACCUUCUCAAAGCUAUCCACACUGGAUCUUUCAACAGGAAAGUCAGUGGAUCCAUUCACAAAAGAAAAUUUCUGGCUGUUAGGAACUGAAACUUUCUUGAUUAAAUCACUUUCACACCCUUCAGUGGCAGUAAACUGCUUGCAAAGACUCCAUGAGGUUUCCUUUCCCUAGGGCUUUUCUAUGCAACAAUUCACCCCUCACAGAAAUUCUGCCCUUACCCUCUUUACCUAGGGCUUCCUCUAGAAGAACACUUUCCUGAGCAACAACAGACUCUUUCUGGGUCUCCCUUACAUCCAGAAUCACCUCUGGCCCAUCCGGCGGAUUCCUACACAAUCCCCUUUCAGGCAAACUUACAGACUUCCUAGAAAAAAGGUCAGAAACAUUCUCCAUCCCUUUGCCACACACAAGUUCAGGAAUCUUUUCCUUCUUGCUACAAGUUUCCACACCAUCAGUAGUUAACACAAUUAAAUCACCUUCAUGCUCUCCUUGUGCCCUGGCUAGGAUCUCACCCUGAUUAGACAGAGUUGCUGCACCCUUGCCCAACAACACACUAGUGUCACGGAGUCCCUGGGCGAUGCUCUGGAACUGCUCCCCAUGAAGCCAGUCAGGACUCUGGGGCAGUCGCCUUUCUGUGAGCAGCCUGUCUGCAGGACACACAGCUCACACAGCUUCCACCUUCCUGGGUCUGACCUCGGAGCAUUCAGCAUCCUCUGCCCCUCCGUGCGCUUCCCCCCAGUGAGUCCGCUCAGGCGGGGCUCCUGGGGAAGCCAGAGGGUCCUGCCCCCCGACUUCGCAGUCAGACGUGACUCUCAGCCAGCCAGUAAAACAGAAGGUUUAUUAGACGACAGGAACAUGGUCUAAAACAGAGCUUGCAGGUGCAGAGAAUGGGACCCCUCAGCUGGGUCCAUUUUGGGGGGCAGUGAGCCAGACAACCACGUCUGCACUUCACUCCAUGUCCCAGCCAGCCCCAAACUGAAAACCCCCUCCAGCCCCUCCUCCUCUGGGCUUUGUUCCUUUCCCGGGCCAGGUGGUCACCUGAUUCCUUUGUUCUCCAACCCUUCAGCUCUCACCUUGCAGGGGGGGAAGGGCCCAGGCCAUCAGUUGCCAGGAAACAGGGUGUUGGCCAUUCUCUGUGUCCAGACUCCUGCACACACAUGCCCUCUAGGGCUCUGCAAUGAUCAUACACCCUUACUCCACCCCCUAGAUACUUAAGAACUGCCUAGGGGAAACUGAGGCACCCCCACACUAUUCAGAGGAAACAUUAAGAACAGUCCCACUUCGUCACAACUAGCAACAGGCAAAAUACAAGCACCAGAAUUGUCUGGUCUCUGGGAUUUUACACAGACACUAACUGGAUGCGACCUAGUUACAGGGCCAUUCUCCCGAGCAGACACAAACUUAGGACCAUUCCCUUCCUGGGCUUUAGCUGGAUCCAGAACCAACUCUGAGACAACUGCACGACCCUCAACCGUCACAGGCUGAAAGGCCCCUUCUGUCUGCUCCACAAAGAAGAGCCGGACACACUUUCUCCUUUCCCAGACACACAGCUCGGGAAAGGAGAAAGUGUGUCCGGCUUUCCCACACACAAGGCUGGUCACAGACAACUGCUUGGAGAUCAGGGUAGCUCCCUCCAUAGGCAAGUCAAUACCCCUGACAGACACAGGCAUGUUUCCUUCACUGCCCCAAUUCUCCACCCAGCUAACAGGUAAGGUCCAGGGACUCUCAUCUUCCACUCUCCUCGCCUUCCCACCCUGCUGACUAGACACAGCCAUCAGCUCACAAGGCUGCCUAGGCUCAUCCAGACUUUCCUUACCAAGCACCUUGCCACUCCCCACAGAUCCCCUGCCCUGCCUGUGUCUCCCCCCCUAAGCUGGGGUCUCAGCUCCCACUGUGCUCAGCACUGUCCUUGCUGUCCCAGUGGGGGUAGGCAGCGAGCUCCCUGCUUUCCUCACUGCAUCAGAGCCAGCCUGAGCCCCCUCUCCGGUGUGCAAGGGGGCAGGGAGCCCCAGGGAGCUGGUUACAGGCAGGCAGGUAGCCUGAGCCUAGCCGCUCCUCCCUCCUGCCAGCCAGGUCAUCUGCAUUUUCACUGACCAUUUCCCUCUCCGCCGAUUGGUUCCCUGGAUUCAAAUUCAAACCCUUGGCAGUUACAGGAGCAGGGCCUGGAUCCUGUCCCAAAGAGACACAGUCACCCCACAACAGGGUCUCACAGCUGGUGUCCUGGAGAACCCCAACGACCAGCCAGCCCCACCCCUACUGGGUCUGCACAGGGAUCUGGGCCAUAGGCAGGGCGAGGGGCUUCGUCCCUGGGAUCCUCACCCAGCUCACCCAGCCCCUCAGCAUCUGAGGCUGCACCACCCAGGGCCUGACAACAGUUCUCUCUGUCCCAGGAUCUCGCCACCCCUGGAAUGUCUCCCCAUUGACCAUCACCUUCCGCUCCCACUGGGGGUCCGAGGGGCCUGGACCCUGGAGACUCCACACAGACAUAUAGGUUGGGACCAGGAGUGGGAGCCUGUCCACCUCCCCACCCAUCUGGCUGACGGAGUCUAUGGCCUUGGGACCCAGCAAGGGAGCUAGACACCGGGGCUUUUCUGCAGGGUCCCCCUGGUUCAAAUCUCCAGCCUGCUCAAAGGCAGUGAGGUGGCAUCCACAUCCCCCCACUCCUUAACCAGGGGCAGCAAUUUAGUGUUGAGGUUCCCUGCGGAACUGGCCCCUCGGGGUCCAUCCCCACUCACCGCUGGGAGGUCCCCUAGGCCUCUCCGCUCCACCAUCGCCAGUUCCUGCUGCUGCUGCUUCUGCAGCUCUUUCUCGGGCUCUCGCUGUCUCUCCCAGUUCACUUGCACUCUCAGACUCAUCUCCGAUCCCCCAGUGGGGAACCCAAUCGUGAAGACCCCCAUAUGGUCAGGAACAGGAGUCUUGGGGGUGCCUGGCUACUACUCCAGCUGCUCCCAGAUCCUGCUAUAGCCCCAUUUGGGGUCAGGAAUCUGUUCCUUAGAGCGGUCAUCCUCCUCCAGCUGCUUAACUGUGCUUUGGUGAACUUUCCAAUGCUCAACCCUCUCUUUCUGCACAGGGUUACAAUGUCCUUCUUAAGGAGACGGUCACAGGCCGUCACUCCGCUCUUCCCAAGUUGUUGUGGACUCACAGGCCCAUGGGUUCUCCCUGGAAACCGUGGGGAGCUGAGAACACAUGGGCCUGUGAGUCCACAACAACUUGGGAGGAGCGGGGUGAUGGCCUGUCACCGUCUCCUUAAGAAGGACAUUGUAACCCUGUGCAAAAAGAGAGGGUUGAGCGUUGGAAAGUUCACCAAAGCAGAGUUAAUCGUGCAGCUGGAGGAGGAUGACCGCUCUAAGGAACAGAUUCCUGACCCCAACUGGGGCUAUAGCAGGAUCUGGGAGCAGCUGAAGCGGGAGCCAGG